rnacentral:rRNA from 1 species
UACGUAGGGACCGAGCGUUGUCCGGAAUCAUUGGGCGUAAAGAGCGUGUAGGCGGCCCCUUAAGUCCUGCGUGAAAUCCUGCGGCUCAACCGCAGACGGUCGUGGGAAACUGGAGGGCUAGAGUGCGGGAGAGGAGAGUGGAAUUCCCGGUGUAGCGGUGAAAUGCGCAGAUAUCGGGAAGAACACCGGUGGCGAAGGCGGGUCUCUGUGCCGAUACUGACGCUGAGGAGCGAAAGCGUGGGGAGCGAACAGG